UACGUAGGGACCAAGCGUUGUUCGGAAUUACUGGGCGUAAAGGGCUCGUAGGCGGCCAACUAAGUCGGAUGUGAAAUCCCCAGGCUUAACCUGGGAACUGCAUCCGAUACUGGAUGGCUUGAAUCCGGGAGAGGGAUGCAGAAUUCCAGGUGUAGCGGUGAAAUGCGUAGAUAUCUGGAGGAAUACCGGUGGCGAAGGCGGCAUCCUGGACCGGCAUUGACGCUGAGUGAGCGAAAGCUAGGGGAGCAAACGGG
rnacentral:rRNA from 1 species